CUAGUGUAGUAUCAUGAAAUUUCAAAUUGUAACACACAUAUAAUGUUUACACGACAUUAAAAUCAUUUCUCAAAAAAUUUUAACAUAUCGUGAUUGAAUUUGAAAAUAUAUAACAAAACAAUAUAUAUGGAAAAAAAAUAUUUUUGAACAUUCUAUAGAAAGUUAUAAAUAUAUAAAUAAAAAGUAGGGAAAAAGAGUAUGAGAGAGGAUAUGUUUUAAUUAAAUUUAGUUAGAUAAUGAUAAAAAAAAAGAGAGCUAGUUAAAAAAAAAGAAGAAGGAUGGUGUCUAGUUAGAUGUGAACUUAAUUGUUCCAAAAAGAAAGGAAAUGUGAGAUAGGAAAUGUAAUUGGGAGUUAAAAAUGUAAUUGGGAAGUUACUGUUCACGUGAACAGUAAGCAACAGUAGCUCCCCUUGCUUUUUUAGUCUUAAUGUGUGUGGUUCUUUCUAUGUACUGAUAUUUUGUUUGUGUCGUAGUGAUAUAUCUGCAGAACAAUCCUG
rnacentral:lncRNA from 1 species